UACAGAGGUCUCAAGCGUUGUUCGGAUUCAUUGGGCGUAAAGGGUGUGUAGGUGGCGCCGUAAGUCGGGUGUGAAAUUUCGGAGCUUAACUCCGAAACUGCAUUCGAUACUGCGGUGCUUGAGGACUGGAGAGGAGACUGGAAUUCAUGGUGUAGCAGUGAAAUGCGUAGAGAUCAUGAGGAAGACCAGUGGCGAAGGCGGGUCUCUGGACAGUUCCUGACGCUGAGGCACGAAGGCCAGGGGAGGCAAACGGG
rnacentral:rRNA from 1 species